GUCCUCCUAAACCUUAGUCGCCUCCAUCCAACCUUACAACUAUCAUAGCUGGUUUAUCCACACCACUAUACGUGGUGUUGGUGUUUACAGUGUCACUAAGGCAAUAGAAUGUUUUCAUUUCUUUGCCUCUAUGUAAGUUGUAACUUUAACGGUGACUUUAUUUCUACUAAAUAAUGGGAGUCAGUAACUAUAUUGCCAUUUCGUUUAUAAGAAAAGAGGUACGCUAGUUGAUCUUACUGUGCAUCCACGCUAGGAAUCCAUCUUCAUGUCAUCUUUAGCAGCAAAUACUUAUCGAAUGCAACAUGGGCUAGCAAUUCACUCACUUUGUAAAUCACUUUGGCACUUUUCUUCCCUACCAAACUUUCAAACAUUCCUUCAUUCCACGGCUCCAAUAAUACCACCAUUGACUUGCUUUGCCACCUCUUCCAAUCUCCCUAGAUCUACUCCACCAACUUAAGACCUCCCUCAUGGUCAACCCGUAAACGGCUAAACCCUAAUCUAGUAGGACUGCUCUAUCCAAUUACAUAAAAGACGAGGCUCGUUGGAGCAUAAAUCUCUCGUAGCAAAUCCAACGGUGAGAAAUCUCGGUAUACUAAAAGUUUUUUUUUCAAAACUACUCCUUAAUUUGGGAAUCGCCCUCUUUCAUUAAGAGAAGUGCCUUAUCUUCCGUACCUACAACUACAAUGUUCUCUAGCUUGUGGAAAGCGAAAUGCACCACCAUUGUAGUAGCUAUAUAGCAAUCGUUCAGCAUCGCCAUGAUUAAGAUAUAGCGCACGUCUGACUGAUCACUUCUUCUUCCUCUUCAGAGA
rnacentral:lncRNA from 1 species